CCUUCUGACCCUAUGUAGCCAGGUCCCAUCUACUAUACUUCUGACCCAGGUCCAUCUACUAUCCUUCUGACCCUAUGUAGCCAGGUCCCAUCUACUAUCCUUCUGACCCAGGUCCCAUCUACUGUCCUUCUGACCCUAUGUAGCCAGGUCCCAUCUACUAUCCUUCUGACCCUAUGUAGCCAGGUCCAUCUACUAUCCUUCUGACCCUAUGUAGCCAGGUCCAUCUACUAUCCUUCUGACCCAGGUCCAUCUACUAUCCUUCUGACCCUAUGUAGCCAGGUCCCAUCUACUAUCCUUCUGACCCUAUGUAGCCAGGUCCCAUCUACUGUCCUUCUGACCCUAUGUAGCCAGGUCCCAUCUACUAUCCUCCUGACCCUAUGUAGCCAGGUCCAUCUACUAUCCUUCUGACCCU
ensembl:lncRNA